UCUCAUUGUUUCUAGUACAGAAACCUCACUUCUUCUUAAUCUUUAUCCAAUGCAAAUUAAUGGCUUACAGUAUGGAGAAGCAAGAUUAUUUACAGGAGCAUUAAAAAGAAUGACAAACAGGUUUUUGGCCUCUGCUUGGCACCUAUUGCCAUGUUACUGGCUUCUGUGUUUAACAUCCAAACAACAAUAUUUGAAUAUAAAAAGAUUUUUCUUUGUCCUCUGAGUAUUCUUGUAUUGGAGCUAUUAAUUAGCUUGUUUAAUCGCCAAGAGUAAAAUAGCGCACACAAUUCAAACUGGUUUAGCUAUCCAGUGCAUGAGCUCAAAGUCUUAUUUGGUGACUAAUUGAUCUGUUAGACAAAGAGGAAAAAAUAGUACUGUGAGAGCUCAAAAUACUUUUGGUCUCUGUGGAGUUAUUUACAGCAUUAAAAACUUUAUCCCGAGACCAGAAAAACUGAACAACAUGGCCAGAGCGAGGAAGUGAAACCAAGAAACUAUUUGGAUAUAAAGUCACGUAAAAAGCUGCAAAUAAAUAAGUUCCUAACUGAAAGCCUGAGCUACUUACAUCAUUUAAACAGUAUUUCAGAUCGUUUGGCAUCAUUUAGUGACAGGAACUGGGUGCAAUUAGCUUGAAAGCUCCCCGAUACCCCGGAGUCCCCAGGCUAGGCUUUGUGUUUUCAACAGUAUUUCUGACCUUUGUAAAAUUUCCAUGCAAGUCUGCAAUCUACAAUACUACAGAUUCCUGGUCGUGGUGGAAUUCCUUGUGACUGACAGGGGAUGCUGACCUGUUUUAUGUGCUGGCUGUCUUAGGUCUCAGGAAAGCCAAUAAGUCUCGGAAAAUCUUUUGUUUAAAUGAUUGUGGGAAGCAAACAUUGCCAAGCUCAAAAGCAGCUGAAAUGAUGGCCAGUUUUUCUUCACCUACUUCAUUUUACGUACAUUUGAAAAUUUUACACCAGGUUACUGAAUAAUUUGGCGAUUAACAUGUUAAACUUGGCCAUUUCCAUUUUAUCUGGCUUACCUCAAGUAUGCAAGCAACAAGACAGAGCAGGUAACCAAGUCCCAUCCACUUUCAGCAGCAGGUGAGUUUAGUUCUCAUAAAGGGUGGAAUUCAACAGGCAUCUUAUUCCUUUUGUUGCCAUCUCCCUUCACAAAAAAUAAUAUAAAUCAAACAAACAAAAACAACACAGAAGCCUUCGCAAGAAGCAAACCAGACAAAACACUUCAGUUUGGCACUCGCCUCCAUGAGGAAAGCAGUGGGAGGUAUGCAGCCAUCUUCAGCUUUUCUGUCUUAAAAACUUCUUCUGGAAAGCCAGAGUGGGCUUUUCUAAUUCAUUCCAUAAUUCUCCUCUACAAAAGAAACUAGCACCUUUGCUAUUUAUAGUGAAGUCAAAAAGCACUGAAGGAUGUAGCUGAAACGCUCCAAAGCUGGGGAUAAGGGAGAGAAAAGUGAAACAGGAGGAAGAAUAUUUAGGAAGGACAGAAGAAUUAAUUUGGAUAAUACGCCCUGCAGCUCUCCCAGUUCUCUUUGUGGAGAUACAAACCAGACUGUUCAAAAUAGGCUCUGUACUGAGCUACAGCUUUUCGCAGAACUCAAUCUUUUAGCAUCCAUUAAAACAUGUUAAACUGUUUCAGUGUAGUUUUUCAUCCGGAAGAAAAUGGAGGCAACACCAUAAAUACAUCCUGGCUACACUCCUGUUCCCACCAAAGGAGAAUGGAUUCAAUAACCCACUGUCCCACUUCCCUACUAGGCACUGCCCAACAAGCACGCAUGAACUCACAGGCAGGCCCUCCCAUUUUACCAGUGUCCAGCCCUUUCCCUCCAGAACUAUAAGUCAGUGGCACUUCAGCCCACUCAGCAUCAUCUCCUUCUCCACCUCCUUUUCUCCCCUUCCUGUCUCACCUAGUCACUAUUUGCCUCCCACAUUAUCUCCAGCUUUCCAUGGCUGUUCCUUCCAUGCCUUUUCUCCAGGUAGAAAGAGACUGGAGAGAAGAGGAUGUCCUGCUGCUCUCACUGCACUCACAGCUGCUGCAGCACUUUCAUGUCUCAAUUAGUGCCACUUAAAACAUUAAACAUUUGUGUGUUUUGCUUUUUCUUUGAGAAAUGUCAGCCUCCUCCUGUUCCUGUCCUUCAAGCAUCACCCAGCACACCAGGGUGAGAGCACUCAGGGCUUUGCCGUUUCACUUCACUGGGGCUAGAGUUUCCCCCUUCAUAUUUGCUAUGCAAAUAGGUGAAGAGACACAUUAAGUAACUAAUUACCAUGCUUUAGUCAACCUUCCUGAAACAGCUCUGAAAAUAGUUAUUUAUACAUUAGUAUCACUACUAAUGUGUGCUGGAGGAAGUUCAGCAACACCAGACGUGGCUGCAUGGGAGCCAAUGAAAGCAGCUGUGCUGAGAGCCGCAGUGCUUGGAUCAGGGCAGACCAUGAAGCAGGACAAGCAGGGCUGGGGGGCUUGCAGCACAGUGCACAACGUGUGAUUUCUGAUAAUAAAAAGCUUUUCUCAGCAAGGCAUUCCCAAGUGGGUAGGACAUUACUUUUCUGGCACUGAUCCCUGAGAAGAAGGACCAAAAGGCUUUCAAGGAGGAGAUCUUGGUAUAGUUGUGGAUCAUGUUUUACUGUAUUUGUUUCAGGUUGUAGCUUUCUCAUCCUAUGAAAUAGCCAAGUCAAGGGCAUUAAGCCUCAUCACUGAAAGGUUAAAAGAAGAACCACUGAACAGAAGGAAGAGAAGAUUAUGGGCAUGCAAGGGACUUAUUCUGGGGGGGGGGUCGAAAGAGUUCCCUCAAUCCUGAUGUCAAUGAAUCAAACCUGGGGAGCUAGCCAAAAAAAAAAACAACCCAACCAAACAGUUGUGCUACCCCACCUCCUGUCCAGUCUGCACACCCAUUUGGUGCAAUCACAUGAGAGGGAGCAUCGUCUCUGCAAUGUAAAAGCCUCUGGAAAUACAAGUUUUACACGAUGAACCAACAGCAGUCAUUCACCUGCGGCUAAAUUCUCAGUGUUUGUUCUGCACAACAUUUUUCCCCAGGUGAUAAGCCUGCAAGUCUACUGGAGAAAAAGCACGGUGAAGUGCAGGUGGGAAAUGCAUAAAGCAGCUUUCACCGUGGUGUAAUUGGGAGGGCUAACUUUAUUCUGCUGUGCAGUUUAUCUCAGCAAGCUCUGCCUUUUCCUAAUACGACUGCGACGUGCCAAGGCGCUCCAGGAAAAACAAAACAGAACAUGAAACCACCUCACUUACAGGGAUGACGCAGACUAAGUUCAGAAGAGACGAGGAAGACUUAGGGUUUUGCUCAGGCAUAACAGAUAUGUCUAAGCAUCAGUCAUCAAUUCUGCCACCACUCGUAAAAGGUGCAACACCGAUACAUUCACUCAGAGACAGCUGGGAGUCACUUUUCUGGUUUCUGAGCUAUUCUCGCAGUUCAUUUACAACAGGACUCGAAUGCUGAUGAUGACAUCUUCUGAACUGGUACUGUGUAUACAGUGGUUCUUAGUAUACCAACUCCUGAAAAAAAACCACAACUCUCCCUCCAAUGUUUAUCAGGAUGAGAUCUGAUGAGUUCAGAAGCUGCUGGAGUUCUUAUGAGUGGUAACAAACCUGACAGUUUUUGCUUUUACCAGAGUAUGCUUCAGUUCACUUCAUUACAGCCAGACCUCCACAUUUUGAGUGACAUAAAGUAUUGACUCCUCUAGCGAGGAUCUGUUAGUGAAAUUGGUACAUCAAUACUUACUUUCCUAACAAGCAGAGGAUCUUCUAAAGAUGAUUAAGAAUGCUUAAUCUGCCACAUACAGAUGAUACCGUUAAAAUCAAUACAAUUUAGCAUGUGCUUUAUUCUUAUUUAUGAUAAACUUAAUCAUGUCCUUAUCAGUUUCGAUAGAAGCUAAGUGAUACCAGUUAUAUGAUACUACACUGGUUCUUACAGGCUUUCUGCAUUUUUUCUUUUUAAAUACAUUUUUAAUCUAUAAACACUUCUGGAAAGUUGCUUGGUUUUCACAAAUCAGUUUUAUUAGAAUUUGUUUUAUUUAUAGGUAUAUUUAACCUCGUUUAUUACUUUCAGUUAGAGCACACUCUUGGUUCCUUUAAACCAUUUCUCUAGAAAACAGCAACUUCCAGGCACAAAAGAAUAAAGACAAGAAAUGGACCAGGGGGGGUAAAACAAAGGAAAACAAAUUAAUAGUAGGGUCUGAAGUUACUAAAUCUCUUGUAAUGUGAGGAGAAAAGUAGUAUGACCAAUAUCAUUAACUUCUGAAGGUCUUGAAUGUCUUCAGAACUUUUUUUUUUUUUUUCCCCUAGAAGUAUCUUUCUGUAAGAUGCUAAGUGGUAGGAAUGAGAAAGAUACCUGCUCCCAUCUUGCUUCUGUUCUACUUUUGAGA
ensembl:lncRNA